rnacentral:rRNA from 1 species
UAGGGAAUCUUCCACAAUGGACGCAAGUCUGAUGGAGCAACGCCGCGCGAGUGAAGAAGGUUUUCGGACCGUAAAGCUCUGUUGUUGGUGAAGAAGGAUAGAGGUAGUAACUGGCCUUUAUUUGACGGUAAUCAACCAGAAAGUCACGGCUAACUACGUGCCGGCAGCCGCGGUAAUACGUAGGUGGCAAGCGUUGUCCGGAUUUAUUGGGCGUAAAGCGAGCGCAGGCGGAAGAAUAAGUCUGAUGUGAAAGCCCUCGGCUUAACCGAGGAAUUGCAUCGGAAACUGUUUUUCUUGAGUGCAGAAGAGGAGAGUAGAACUCCAUGUGUAGCGGUGGAAUGCGUAGAUAUAUGGAAGAAUACCAGUGGCGAAGGCGGCUCUCUGGUCUGCAACUGACGCUGAGGCUCGAAAGCAUGGGUAGCGAACAGGAUUAGAUACCCUGGUAGUCCAUGCCGUAAACGAUGAGUGCUAAGUGUUGGGAGGCUUCCGCCUCUCAGUGCUGCAGCUAACGCAUUAAGCACUCCGCCUGGGGGAGUACGACCGCAAGGUUGAAAC